CGUGACACUACGCCGGCUAAAUUCACGACGUUCGUUCGUCUCCGGUUACGCUCGGACGCUGUCGAUUUUCGAUUGAACGUUCUGUUGUGCUGCUCCUUUCUGCUUGUCGCUGCCACUGGCGAAGACAAGCGUAACGUCGUGAUAUUUUCGUGGGAGCCUCUGUCGCUAAUCGCACACAUACGUACGUGCGUUUUAAUGCCACAAAUGGAGGCGGAUACACAGGAGUGCAAUAGCGAUCGUGCUGGGUCGUCUAGGUGACGUCAACUUCGGUAAGUUACACAUUCGCCUUAAUGUCUCCCCUCUUUACUUUCCUUCGUCACCCUUAUUACUACUCGUUACUAUUUCGACGAGUCUUGAACAGUACUGGUUUGACUUUAGAUACAGACUAUCUAUAAAAAUACUACAUAAGGAUCCCGUUAAUAGAUUCAUUUGUCCCAUAAUAAUCUAUACAGAAUACUUCUAACGUUCUUGAAUUUUAGAUUUGUGAAUGUGGACUGUGAUCUUUUUUUCAAGAAGCUGUACACCUUUGUAUCUUGAUCGAGAAAACACGUUCGUGAAGGCAAAUAGUUUAUGGUAUUGUCUCAUGGGAAUUUUAUCGCUAGCAAUUGUUAUUUAGUUCAAAUAUUUCAUCAGCUAACAAGAGACACUCCUCGUCGACUACGCAAUUAGCUAUAGUUCAGCAAGUAUGCUUAAAAAGUGUCAUUCUUCUUGGAAUCAAAUGGCUUUGACGACUCUGACGUACAUGAUUAGGAUAAUCGUGGAUCUUCCGUGUGAUCUUGGGAUAUAAUAAUAAAACUACCUGCGUCGGUGUCUGGAAGGGAAUCACGAUGGAGUCAACAGGAAAUGGACGUUAUCUUUUGCCAAGAGAAGCCAAUAUGCAUAGUAUGCAUGAAUAAACUAUCGUCACGAUGGCUGACGAGAACGUCCUUUAAUUAAGGAAUGAUUAAUUGAUGUGUAUAUCUCAUGCUUGUCAAGCAGCUACGUAACUCUAUUGAAUAUAUCUAUUAUUUCAUCAAAACAAAAAUGAUAGUCACUAUUGAUGCAUCAUGGAAACACGAUGACCUUGUUAUUCCAUAUUUUUUCUUUGUUUUUUUUUUUGUAAUAUUCGUUACUAAUUAUUUUUAUCGCUAUCAAUCAUUAGUUUUAAUACAUAAUCAAGUGAUGUUUGAUAUAAAAAUAUUUUACAAAUAGAUAUUACGUAAUUUAACUGUCAUUUGUUCUUUGGGUAUGUCAUUGUUAUAAUAUACUAUUACGGUGUACUCCAAAUUAUUAGAGUAUGAUGUUUCUAGUUUUAAUGGUUAGAACCAAUUACGUAACUCAGGCCGGAGGGCACGACCGUAACGUUUCAGAAGGAUCAGCAUCGUUUCUACAAGAACCGGUCGCUAUCGAUUCAUCCUCGUCGCGCCCGUGAAAACGCCUUAAGCCAGAUCCCUCGAUUCUACCACUGCUUUAGGAAUUAGUCACCCCUUGGAAUUCCACUUAUUGUGCCUUGCCGAUCGAUUCUCUGUUUCGUACUCGGAUGCCGUUUCCAAGAAAUAUUACUGUCUAAUCAGUGUGGGACUGUCUAGAAGUGAUCAUUAAAUUUCGUUGCCAUUCAUCCAGUCAUCAGAAAUGACUCAUCGAGCAUAAUACUGUAUUUGUGCCAAUGUGACGCCAUUUAGUUUUGCUUCAUCCCUACAUAAUAAAAAUUCAUCAAAAUCCUACUCGCGAUAGUGACUAAUAUCGCCGUAGAUUUUUAUAUUUUAUUAACUUAUCGAUGCUCUGAUUAGUUUUCUAUUAUCAUUAUUUUGCAUGAAUUCUCUAACGAUAAUCUCAGACGAUAACGUGCUCUCUAUCGAUAACAUUUUUAAACUGUGACUAAUGUAAGAAGAUUCAUUCGACUUUAAAAUCGAUGUAUUAAAAUGCCAAGCGAUAACUAUCGAUAAGUAGAUUUCUACUACGAUGACUUAUCGAUCGAGAGGUAUCUACUUAAUCACAGCGAUAAUCCAUAAUAGAGAUGCGUCCUUUGACGUGUUCACUGGCGUAACGUGUGGACGAUCCUAAGCUAUAAAUAACGCAAAAAGAUCAUUAUUCGUAAGACAGGACAAAGUGAACAAUCAACAUAUUAGACCGAGGACAGAAUCCCGCGUGUCGCAAUUCCCGCAAAACGAUACUACCGAGUCGUUUGCGUAUUACGUACUGUCAUCCUAGACGCGUUGUGGUGACAAAGGAACAAUUGUCUAGGACACGGUCGCUAGAUACUUUAUAUGAAAAAAAAAAAUUAACAUUUUUACUUCUUCCGCUGUGCGACCGUUUCCGAUAAAUGACCGGUCGUUGUGUAGGAAAUUCAAAAAUUGGCGCGCAACGUUUCCGUUAUGCACGAUAGGUGGCUAUAGGCCGUCCGCCAUGAUGCCGGGACAUGAUGCAAGCGGUUGAAGGGCAGAUGGAUGAGUGGAGGUUUAAAUGUUGUUAGAGAGACUGUAGGUUAGACAGGAUGAAUUUAGUGGCGGGAAGUGCCCUCGUUAUCACGCCAGUCAAUUGUUUAAUCUCGGCCUCUUUUGCUCCCUCCUUGGUAGCGCGUCGGCGUCCCGACGCCAUGGCCCACGAGACCACGCGAAAUGCGUUAAACUGGCUAUCAAGUUUCUGAGUCACGUACUUCUUUGGCGACGCACGCCUACCGUUGUCUCUUAUGUCGGUAGCAGGUAAUAGGGAUUACAUUGAUAAUCAUAGCUGAAUGAUAUUGAGCCAUCGAGAUGGUAUUGAGAAAAUAUUUAGUGCUCUUUGGAUGGCAACCAUAAGUCGAGUACAGUAUUAGAUAAUUAAGUAGGAUAUAGGGACAUACGAUCCUAGGAAUUAGUUAAGUUUAGAAUGAUUUAGGAGUCCGGACUGUGGCGGUUAGACCUGCUGGUUCGGAGGAACGAUCACUGAUCUGACACCGAGGAGAUAUUGUGAAGAGGAUCAGCCGCUGGGUAUUUUUGUCUCUUAGACAAAAUGUACAGCAUUUCGACCCCCUCCAGAACUUCUGUGCUGGUUCCAGUAUAGCUGCUGUGAUCAGAGUGUCCAGUAGCUGUCAGAUGCUAAGUUCUGUAAGGCUAGUCUUUACUGAUAUCUCGACGAUGGAUCCGGUAGCGCAUAAGGGCUGGUAUUGAUCAGGUGAAUCAUCAGGGCCGGUGAUCAUCACUGGUAUCGGUGUUGGUGGAGUAGGAGGAGCAUGCAUAUGUAAACCACCGACGGAAGAUGCCAAACUGGAACCGGAGCUGGUAGUCAGUGAACUGCUGGAAUCAUCUCUAAAAGCUGGAAAGGUUCCUGAGUUGUUCCAGAUAAACCAAGAUAUUCUCAUCUGACGGUUAGUGUCACCACAGAUUCAAUCAAGCCAAAGAAGAUACCUAAUUGAGGUCAAUUACAUUUCCCUGUCUUUGCGCGCUAUAGGAGAGCACAUCUCUGUCCAGCACUCAAUUAGAUCAUAAAUUACGGUAUCAAUUAAUCAAUUGGACCUGACGAAUUCAACAUCUCCAAGCCGUACUCGUUGCUAAUAACGUAACGAGUAUCUGCGAUACUUACCACCUUUAGCGCGAUGCAUCGCCUUCAGUUGGUCCAGCUGCGCCGCAGAACACAGUGGUGUAUCGACUUCAUAAGUAUUAUUGAAAAGUGUGUAAUUAACUUCGUAUUCGCCAGUUUCCUUGCGAAAUGUUAUUAUGUGCUCAAAUCUGUGACCCCAGAGGAUUUCCGACGGCAGAUAAGAGCUUCUUGCUUGGGUAGUCAUACCCGUGGAUUCUAUUACACCUUCACUAGUGCCAUCUACCUUCGAGCAUGACGAUGAUCUCGAAUCUCUCGCGAAGCAUGUCACUGGCUGAUAGAUGAUAAAGUGGCGAAUGCUCAUCUAUCUUAUGGAUAAUGGUGGUCGGCCAUAUGAAGAAUAUUUUGUCUUCUUCGCCAUCACCUCCGACCUUCAAUUCCGUUUGGAAGAAUGGCAGUAACUCACCCUCCCUCGUCACCUGAAAUUUCCCUUGAGGUUACGUGGUGGUUAAUAGACGUGACUAAGAAAUUCAAUUAGCUAAAUGUUCUAAAGUUUUAUUGAGAAUCUCAUUAAGGAGCCGAAGAAAUGAUCACAACCCACCUUUCGUUUAAUCAUCUGUGCCCUGACGUGAGCUUCGAUUAUGUGACUCUUCCUCAUGUCGCCGACGCGAAACAUCAGACAGGGUUGACCAUCCCUCUGGCAAAUUACGGCAUUUCGCGAGAAGAGUAAUGUCUGAGUACGUUUUUUGGGUCUUGACAAUUUUGCAAAGACUAUUCCCACCAUGAAGGCCUGAAGAAUUACGCCGGUCAUUGACUGUAUGCACAUUAUGAAUAUCGCCUCAGGACAUUCUUCUGUGGAUAAAGUAAGAGCGUUCUAGAUUUUAAAUGACAUACCCAAUGGUGUGCUGCGUCUCUACCGAGAAAAGAAAGCAGCUGGUGAAUCCGCGUAUGUCCCUGACGCACGGUGUGAAGGAAUCAUUAUUUUUAUUUUCCAAAUCCAAAUCUCCGUGCGUGUAAACAAUCAACCACCAUACUAAGGCGAAACCCAACCAGGACAGCAUGAAGUUCAUGGAAAAGACCAAAAGCGUCCAGCGCCAUUGUGCAUCUACUAAAGUGAUAUUAUUUUACCUGCAAGUAACGACGUCUUCUCUUCGCUACGUUUCCUUGUACCACGUUGCAGUCGCCGUGCUUGAAAACGACGCGUUUGCGUACGCGUCUUGUGCUGAAUCUCGUCUGUCGAUAUCUGAAAGAAAAUCAAGCAUAAAUAAUGUCAACGAUCUUGACAGGAGGAAAUGCAAGGACUUUUCAAUUUCUAUUCUAAAUCUGUCCACGACACGAAUAGGGUGCAGUAGUAGUAAAAGUAGUAGAAGGUCCGACGUCUAGGUUAACCUUACUCCCACGGAUUUUCUUGGAGGCCGUUUAAAAUGGAUUAUCAUUACCACCAAAAAUAUCUGACAUUUCUAAUGCCACGACGGCCGAAUAUACGAUUAGAGAUUUACUUCCAAGUCUCGGGAGUCUACGGGCACUUGGCCAGAAACAAAUUUUCAGCGAUGAGACAGAAGGCUGGUAGUUUUAUGAAAUUAUGAAAAAUUGAACGCGUCGUUCACGUCAAUAUUUUUUAUAAGGAAAAUAUGUGUAAUAACGUACAUAAGAUAUCUUGCAUCCGUGUGAUAGUUAGGCAUAUUGAAAUAUUUCUUUAAAAUUCCUACUACUACCUUCAACUGUGAAAUUCUUAACGGUCUUAAAAGCAAAUAACUACGUAUGAUUUUCUAUCCUAUGAGAUUUUAGGAUAUCGCAAUAUUCUUAGCUAGUCUUAUUUAUGCAGUCGUAAAUCUGUAUAAUAACGUGAGGCAUCGCGUCGUUAACGUACACGAUCCAUUUCGUUUUCUCGACGAUUGAAUCGUCGCGGGGGGUGAAUGAGAAUGUGGAUUAGAGGCAGCGAACACCGCAAGUGUUUCCUGGAAAUAGGAGUCAUUUAUUUUCCACGUUUCACGACUCCGGGCAUUAUUGUUAGUUUUAGGAAAGGGUAUUGGUCAAUAUUUAUUAUUGCGCUUGGUCGAUGGACCCUCUUGGUCGCGAUGAAGAAAAUGAAAAGAAGCUCGUAAAGUCAAAGUCAAGGGGAAAAGAAAACAUAAAAUUCUAUAUAAAUAUUUGGAGAUUGAAGCAAUCUUCUGAUAAAGCAAUGCUUACGGCUUGUAGCCACUUCGCGGUGUGUGCUGUGACUUGCAACGUGAAUUUUACGUGGCUAUAAAAAGAAAGAGGUAAAGAAAACCCUUAAAAAAGUCCUUCCAGAGACUGUGAAGAUCCAGUGAAGUAUCUGAGAAGUCGUAGGUCAGGGACGUUCAAAUAUUUGUCUAGAGGCUCUUGUACUGGAAUGCUUGACUUCGGACGGGUAUCGAGGGUUUAUAGGAAGUGGAUAAUGACAAUUUAUUAUCAAGCGUAAGGUUAGGUAACUUAAAACGAAAGUCAAUGGCCAUUUUUAUUCGUUAAUUAUAAUUACUAAUUAGCUCGUUGCGGGGAACGAGUGUGCGUGUACUUAUGCAGACGCUUUACCUAUACUAUGUAUAAUGUUCAAGGUCCAUGUGUACGUCAUUGUAUUACGACACUCGUGUUACAGAAUUUUGUAAUUUUGACAACAACAACAAAAAUGUGAAUAAUUUCAGGCGUUACAUCAGUGGCGGCCAACAAGGAAAUUUUGUUGCGGAAUUGCUGUGCUUUUUGGCAACGUGGACAGUGGCUAAGACCGUCGCGCUAGUAGAUCCCUCUGAACUUGCUACACUCAUGGAACAGGAGGGACGCCAGGCGUCCUUGUGGACGCUAGACUGAGGUCGCAUGUACUCGACCAUUUUCAUUUCGUCUAGGAACCGCCGAAGAAUUCGUAGAAGAGGAUCCGAAGACAGCAGGAUCGUAGCCAAAUUCUGUGCGAAGUAGUUUUUGCAAAAGUUCAAAAUUGCGCCAAGACCUUGACUACACGAGCUUGGAAAAACGGCUCGUAAAAGUCGUUUUUGUUUUAUUAAUUUUUUUUUAUCGUCACUACGUACUACCAGGUUAAUUAGUUUCUAGAAUGUGGCAAAGUAUAGGUUAUAUACAGAGCUCUGAUUUAGUGCGACCCUGACACCGUGACACAGGACAGAAAUAGAGCAUCUUAUGAAAAUUUAAAUUUUCGAGAAAGCUUUCCAGCUCAACCUGCCAAUGGCCCAAUAUUUUCUUUGUUCUCUUUCGAAUUAGCUGCUUUGUCUCGUGAAUUUAUGAGCUUCCUUGAUCUUUUUCAAACGUCACAAUGUCUUGCACAACUAUUUUCACUGGGCUUAAUUUUCAUAAAUUCUUUAUGCAAUUCCUGUCAGAUUCUAGUUUUGAACUUCCAAACGACGAUGCGUCAGUGCUUUUGCCAAAUUUUAAUUGGCCAUAUAUAAUAAACGCUCAGUACCUCGAUGGAUUUUUGCCAGACGCGUAACGAAAUUUUCUUUGUCCCUCGUAGACGAUACGAGCAAAAUGCCAUGUAGUGUACACAAGUGUUUCCGCAGCUUGCGCGCAUGCGGUGCAAAUGCGAAUGCGCCCACGCAAACGGUAAGUGUUUGUCCAAUAGGCGCCGACUUACUACAGUGUAAAUUAAAAGUUUCUCUCACACGAUAGUAGAAAUGUUGACGUUUAACAUAGUAAAGGUAAACGAGCAGUGCCAAAAUAGAAUUAUGCUCGUUUAACGGCUACGGACAUUAUUCAAUAAGAAAGGAAAGAAGCUCGCUUCGCAGAUCCAAGGAAAAUACAGUCUAAAGCAGAAGGAAUAUUGUAUUAUGGAUAAACAGCGUUCAGAAAUUUCUAGAGCAUCCGUCGUAUCGGACGCCGUGGAACACACUGUACUAUUUCUCGUUAGCAUAAUGGCGUAACUUAGCAAGACCCACGUGAAUCGUACGUCACUAAUCUAUAUACAGUUCAGUGCACCGUCAGUCGAGUGUUAAAGAAAGUAUUAAGUCCUCAAGCAUUUUUAUCUUAGAAUUUUCAACGUAACUGACAGGGCCGCAUCGUGUUACUGUCGCCAUAUUGUUUUUGAUAUAGCGAAGUACACAAGUUGUCCGCUAGAGUGCGAAGUUUCUCGAACGAAGGAACGAAACUUCGGAAAUGCAACAAACUGAUAAAUAUUUUAUACGUCAAGAGCAACAAAACCGAAACAAGAUAAACUCGUGAUUGUGCGACUACUCAAGAGAUUGCAACUGGGCAAUUAUUCUAUCCGGGACAACAGGAUGCCAUUAACCGUUUCUUGCUUUCUGCUUGCUCUUUAAUCACGCAGAGGCGUGCCGUACGUACAGUUAUCCCUAUUCACAACCACAAAUACACGUCCACUUCCUUCGUCUAUUUAGCUUCAGAACUGACUGGCUUUGCCGUACGGUCGUAAUAAUCGAGAAAAGAAACUAAAGAGAACUCGAGUUCUUUGAUUCAUCGAACAAUAUUGAAAACUCCAAUGGAUGACAUUAGGCAAUAAUAAAAGAGGUUGAACGAGAUGAAAGGGCUUAUGGGUGAAAAUCCCAAACAAAAAGAAAAAUGCUCAAAGCAGUGAUUUUCCGUACUUAAGGCAUUCCUCGCGCCAAGCAGCCUCGCCGGAAGUCGUCGCUUUGUAAACUAGCAUCGACACCUGGGAAAUUGCCCUUCGUAAACCGGAAAGAGCCAUUCCGUCGCCGAGAUGAGUCUUAGAAGGUUCCUGAAGCGAUUCCACGGCUGAUUUCGUUGUGGCGUUAUUGCUCUCCAUAGUCUACGUGACGCAAUAACUUCGUAACGGUCUAACCUAACCUAACUGGACCACGUGGAAGAUUGCAGGAAACUGAUGAAAAUAGAAAAUGGACACUCUUCGCAUGCGAUUGCUAUUAAUAUAUGAUUAUACAACUUUUAUUCGAACCAGAAGCGUUAAGCUUUACCUGCUUAACAAUGGGCCGGAUUCUCCCCGGAAGCUGAUCCUGCUCAAGGUCCUGCUAUGGAAGCUGCUGAGUACGCCUGGUUUAUCCUUAACGGCGACAUUCUUGACUGUCUCGUCUGCCGAAUCCUCGCAGAGCUUAACGGCGACGGCGGCUGCUGGAACUGCCGAGUUUACCAGGAGUUCGCUCCAGGGCGUCGGGCUCAACCACUCAACACUCACCAGAGUCAACAACAAUAGAUAACACAACUGUCC